rnacentral:lncRNA from 1 species
ACAGAGUUAGCAUCCAGAAGAACUGGCCAGGUUCCCAGCCUACAACCCCAGAGACACCACCCUGCGCCCAGCCUUGGGACUCCGUAGAGCUACUAGCCAGGGCUGCAGGAAGCCACGCCCAAGCUUCAAGAAACCACGCCCAGGCUGUAGGAAGCCGCUCUCAGGACACCUGCAGAGGUGAAGUUCAAAUGGCUUAUGCUCCUUUAUAUGAUCCUCUCUAACAUGCACAAGAACCGUGGGCGAUCUGGUCAGGAUACAGAAGGUGUGCCACACAGCCUGGACCUGACCCAUUUAACAAGGGCUCGGGUGUGCCAAAGCAGCUGGCCCACGCGGAGAGGAAAUAAAAUCUUAGCAGGCAGAGAGCAUUCAUUGCAGGACACGGGUUGGGGGACAGGCAUGGUGAUUCCCUGUCUUAAGGACUACAGGGCAUCUCCUGAAACCUGUCUUCACCUUGCAGGUUGGCUGGCAUUGGAGCAGAUGUCACAAAGCUCUGAGCCUGUUAGUGUGGAAGAAUAGGACUCUCCGCUCAGCACCUCAUUGUGGGUUUGGGACAUUGUGCACCAUAAAGGUGAAAGUGUGUCCUUGCAGGAAGGGAACAUACUGACCUAAAUUGGUGUCUCGGGCACGUCCUUCUGCGUCUUAAUUUCCUUACUUAAGCGAGACUAAUGGAGGCUGUGGUGUAUGCCUUCGAUGCCGGCAGCACUCUGGAGGCAGAGCCAGGUGCAUCUGCCGGUUCAAGGCCAGCCUGGUCUACAAGCCAGCUCUUGGCCAGCCAGUGCUGCAUAGUGAGACCCUGUCUCAAGAAACAAACAAACAAACAAAUAAGUUAAAUAGAUAAAUUGUCUCUGAAACACAAAGGGGACAGUAGUUCUAAGGAUUCCAACCCUCAUCUUUACCUUUAAGCUAAGAGAAUAUAUUCAAUUUUUAAAAUAGUUUAACUGCUUUUUUCUGUUUUGUUUUGUUUGUUUGUUUGUUGUUUUUGUUUUGUUUUGUUUUUUGAGACAGGAACUCAUAUGCACCAGGCAGGCCUCAAACUCACUGUAUAGCCAUGGAUAGUCCAACCUUCUUUUUUAUUUUUAUUUCAUGUGUAUGGGUAUUUUGUCUGCAUAUAUAUCCGAUCACCACAUGCCUGCCUGGUGCCCUCGAAGUCCAGAAAAGUGUGCCAGACACCCUGGGUGGAGUUGUAGACAGCUGUGAACUUCCACAUGGGUCCUGAAAUUUAAACUCUGAUCCACCGGAAGAGCCAGUGCAUUUAAAACCAUCUCUCCUGCCCCCUAAAGUCCACUUUAACCCUGCGCACUCACUCUCCGAAGUAACACUGUUUCAAGUGGGAAUCUGGAGGAGCACGUGGCACGAUAGGACCCCAACAGGCUUGGGUGACUCAGGGAAGCAGGCAGGCGCUCAGCCUGCACCGCACUGAGGGCGAGGGCGUGUCAGCUAUUCAGUCCUAAAACGGAAACCCUUCCCUGCUCCAGAUUACAGAGCCUGGACCCCGGCCAGGACAUAAUGUGUUAUAACUAUAGAGUAAGUUAUUCAAAUUAUGAUCACUUCAGGAACCAUUUUUUUAUGAGAAAAUAAAUUUUAAAUAAUAGC